rnacentral:snRNA from 1 species
AGCAAGAUUGGUGGGAAAGGGA